rnacentral:rRNA from 1 species
UCGAGAAUCUUUCGCAAUGGGCGCAAGCCUGACGAAGCGACGCCGUGUGAGCGAAGAAGGCCUUCGGGUUGUAAAGCUCUUUCGCUAGGGAACAAGAAAAGGGCGCUAAUAUCGCCCUGAUUUGAGGGUACUUGGUAAAGAAGCACCGGCUAACUCCGUGCCAGCAGCUGCGGUAAUACGGAGGGUGCAAGCAUUGAUCGGAAUUACUGGGCGUAAAGGGCGCGUAGGCGGCUAAAAAAGUUGGAUGUGAAAUUCCGCGGCUCAACUGCGGAGCGGCAUUCAAAACUCUUUAGCUAGAGCGUAGUUAGGGAAAACGGAAUUCCACGUGUAGCGGUGAAAUGCGUAGAUAUGUGGAAGAACACCAGUGGUGAAGACGGUUUUCUGGGCUAUUGCUGACGCUGAGGCGCGAAAGCUAGGGGAGCAAACAGGAUUAGAUACCCCCGUAGUCC